rnacentral:lncRNA from 1 species
AUUCUUCCACCUCAGCCUCCCAAGUAGCUGGGACUACAGGUAGACAUUGUUGAAGGAUACCUCAAAGUACCCAGAAGGACAGGAGGAAUUGCAGAACCUCAGGCUGGAGGGUAUCCCUCAAAACGAGCAAGACACAGCUCUGCGACUGGAUGCAAGCCAAGAUCCUAGAUGACUCAAUUUUUCACUCUAUCAGAUGAAGACAAUACUUGCC